GGGGCGGCUACCAUGCAGUCGAGCGGGGGAAGGUAGCUUGCUACCGGACCUAGCGGCGGACGGGUGAGUAAUGCUUAGGAAUCUGCCUAUUAGUGGGGGACAACAUCUCGAAAGGGAUGCUAAUACCGCAUACGUCCUACGGGAGAAAGCAGGGGAUCUUCGGACCUUGCGCUAAUAGAUGAGCCUAAGUCGGAUUAGCUAGUUGGUGGGGUAAAGGCCUACCAAGGCGACGAUCUGUAGCGGGUCUGAGAGGAUGAUCCGCCACACUGGGACUGAGACACGGCCCAGACUCCUACGGGAGGCAGCAGUGGGGAAUAUUGGACAAUGGGGGGAACCCUGAUCCAGCCAUGCCGCGUGUGUGAAGAAGGCCUUAUGGUUGUAAAGCACUUUAAGCGAGGAGGAGGCUACUUUAGUUAAUACCUAGAGAUAGUGGACGUUACUCGCAGAAUAAGCACCGGCUAACUCUGUGCCAGCAGCCGCGGUAAUACAGAGGGUGCGAGCGUUAAUCGGAUUUACUGGGCGUAAAGCGUGCGUAGGCGGCUUAUUAAGUCGGAUGUGAAAUCCCCGAGCUUAACUUGGGAAUUGCAUCGAUACUGGUGAGCUAGAGUAUGGGAGAGGAUGGUAGAAUUCCAGGUGUAGCGGUGAAAUGCGUAGAGAUCUGGAGGAAUACCGAUGGCGAAGGCAGCCAUCUGGCCUAAUACUGACGCUGAGGUACGAAAGCAUGGGGAGCAAACAGGAUUAGAUACCCUGGUAGUCCAUGCCGUAAACGAUGUCUACUAGCCGUUGGGGCCUUUGAGGCUUUAGUGGCGCAGCUAACGCGAUAAGUAGACCGCCUGGGGAGUACGGUCGCAAGACUAAAACUCAAAUGAAUUGACGGGGGCCCGCACAAGCGGUGGAGCAUGUGGUUUAAUUCGAUGCAACGCGAAGAACCUUACCUGGCCUUGACAUACUAGAAACUUUCCAGAGAUGGAUUGGUGCCUUCGGGAAUCUAGAUACAGGUGCUGCAUGGCUGUCGUCAGCUCGUGUC
rnacentral:rRNA from 1 species